rnacentral:rRNA from 1 species
AUUGAACGCUGGCGGCAUGCUUUACACAUGCAAGUCGAACGGUAACAGGCCGCAAGGUGCUGUCGAGUGGCGAACGGGUGAGUAAUGCAUCGGAACGUUCGCAGUCGAGGCGGAUAACUACUCGGAAGAGUAGCUAAUAGCCCAGACGAUCUCUGGAGGAAUCCUGGGGACCGUAAUGCCUCGCGCGGUUGCAGCGGCGCAUGUCAGAUUAUGUAGUUGGUGGGGUAAAGGCUCACCACGCCAACGAUCUGUAGCUGCUAUGAGAGGACGACGAGCCACACUGGAAAUGAGACACGGCCAAGACUCCUACGGGAGGCAGCCGUGGGGACUUUUGGACAAAGGGGGCAAGCCUGAUCCAGCAAUGCCGCGUGCAGGAAGAAGGCCUUCGGGUUGUAAACUGAUUUUGUACGGAACGAAACGGCUCUGGUUAAUACCAGAGGAUAAUGACGGUACCGUCAGAAUAAGCACCGGCUAACUACGUG